CCUGGUGAACAUAGCAAGUGUGAACCACCCGAUCCCAUCUCGAACUCGGAAGUGAAACCACUUAGCGCCGAUGGUACUGCAUCUUAAGGUGUGGGAGAGUAGGUCAUCGCCAGGC
rnacentral:rRNA from 1 species